GCCUUCUUAGCUCAGUGGUAGAGCGUUGCACUUGUAUCAGACUCGUAACCCCCUUGAGGACUAGAUACUUACAUUAAUGCAAAGGUCAGUCGUUCAAUCCGGCUAGGAGGCA